GACGAACGUUGGCGGCGUGCUUAAUACAUGCAAGUCAACUGAAGCAGUGGUAGCAAUAUCGCUGUGGAGGUGGCGCACGGGUGAGUAACGCGUAGGUAAUCUGCCUUCAGGUCUGGCAUAACUCCGGGAAACCGGGGCUAAUAGCAGAUGAUGCAGCGGCUCGACAUCGAGACAGUUGUUAAAGCUAUGGCGCCUGAAGAUGAGCCUGCGUCUGAUUAGCUAGUUGGCGGGGUAACGGCCCACCAAGGCAACGAUCAGUAGCUGGUCUGAGAGGAUGAUCAGCCACACUGGAACUGAGACACGGUCCAGACUCCUACGGGAGGCAGCAGUAAGGAAUAUUGCUCAAUGGGAGAAAUCCUGAAGCAGCAACGCCGCGUGAGGGACGAAGGGCUUUUGCUUGUAAACCUCUGUAGUGAGAGAAAAAAAUCCCAAUCUUUGGGACAUGAUGGUAUCUCAAAAGUAAGCCCCGGCUAACUACGUG
rnacentral:rRNA from 1 species